CUCCCUUUGCUGUCCCCAAUCCCAGUCCCCUCCCCAUUUACAUACUUUUUUUUUUUUUUAAGAUUUAUUUAUUUUAUUGUAGGUGGGCUCGAUCCUAGGACCCUGACCUCAUGACCGGAGCAGAAAUCCAGGCAUCCGCUUAACUCACUGAACCACCCAGGCGCCUCCCCUCCAUCUACACACUCGUACAAUAGGGACGUUUUGUCCCCGAGCCAAGUUUGGGAGGACUGAAGCAGGGAGGAGUCCAAAGCUCACAGACCACUGUGACCAUCCUGGUUUGGGGGGGCUCGAGGAAGGCUCUGCAAAUCAUCCACUUGUCUAUAAGCGGGGCGAGUGGCCCUGACGUCUUUCUGCUCCAUUGACCUGAGAUUUCUCUCCGCCCUUAUGAGGAGCAUCAACAGCUGUGGAGAUCGACUAGCAUCCAGGAUCAAGAAAAGGCUGCAAGAUUUAGAACCUAAGAAGGAGAAUGAGAUAGCAAGUGCAACAAGGAAUGUCCAGAAGAGAACAACAACGGUUCCCCGCGUAUUCUAAAGCAGUGGUUCCUCAAGGCUUCACACACAUCAGGGGCUCCUUUAGGGCUUGUUAAAACUCCAGAGUGCUGGGCCCACCCCUGGAGUUUCUGAUUCAGUUGAUGUCUGGUGGGAUUGAUAAUUUGCAUUUCUAGCAAGUUCCCAGGGGCUGCUGAUGCUACAGGUCCAGAGGGGCCCCCUUUGAGAAUGACUUCACUGAAGAGAUUGGGAAGAGACGCCAAAGGGUGACGGGAGUGGUGAAGAGCUCACCUAGCAGUUCUGUUCUUUACCGAUGUGUGCAAGUCACGUAGCGUUUCCAGGCCUGGUUCUUCGUCUAUUAAGUGGGAUUGAUAAUAAAUGAGGGGUUAAGAGUUGGUCCAUGUAAAUAACUUGGAAUAGUCUCUCGCACAAAGUAAAUGCUCUGUAAAUGUCCGCUAUCUGCGCCUCUCAAUGUGAUGGCCGAUGAAUGUAAAGCCUCUGACCCAUGUAAAG